rnacentral:rRNA from 1 species
UACGAAGGGGGCUAGCGUUGUUCGGAAUUACUGGGCGUAAAGGGCGCGUAGGCGGUGUGUCAAGUCAGGCGUGAAAGCCCCGGGCUCAACCUGGGAACAGCGCUUGAGACUGGCACGCUCGAGUUCGGGAGAGGAUGGUGGAAUUCCCAGUGUAGAGGUGAAAUUCGUAGAUAUUGGGAAGAACACCGGUGGCGAAGGCGGCGACCUGGGUCGAUACUGACGCUGAUGCGCGAAAGCGUGGGGAGCAAACAGG